rnacentral:rRNA from 1 species
AGAGUUUGAUCAUGGCUCAGAACGAACGCUGGCGGCGUGCCUAACACAUGCAAGUCGAGCGCGAAUGGAGCAAUCCUAGUAGAGCGGCGCACGGGUGCGUAACACGUGGGUAAUCUGCCUGGAAGAUCGGGACAACCUGCCGAAAGGCUGGCUAAUACCGAAUAAGCCUACGGGAUCCUCGGAUCCUGAAGGAAAAGGUGGCCUCUGUAUACAAGCUAUCACUUCCAGAUGAGCCCGCGGCCCAUCAGCUAGUUGGCGGGGUAACGGCCCACCAAGGCAACGACGGGUAGCUGGUCUGAGAGGACGAUCAGCCACACUGGAACUGAGACACGGUCCAGACUCCUACGGGAGGCAGCAAUGGGGAAUUUUGCACAAUGGGCGAAAGCCUGAUGCAGCAACGCCGCGUGUGUGAUGAAGGUCUUCGGAUCGUAAAGCACUUUCGACCGGGACGAACAACCUCUGGCUAAUACUCAGGGGCCUGACGGUACCGGGAGAAGAAGCACCGGCUAACUCUGUGCCAGCAGCCGCGGUA